GGUUCCAUAGCACAGUUGGUUAGCGCGUGGUACCGAUUCUAAGUAAUGAGUUAAUACCAAGGUCGAGGGUUCAAUUCCCUCUGGAACCA